UACGUAGGGUGCGAGCGUUGUCCGGAAUUAUUGGGCGUAAAGGGCUCGUAGGCGGUUUGUCGCGUCGGGAGUGAAAACCCAGGGCUUAACCCUGGGCUGGCUUCCGAUACGGGCAGACUAGAGGUAUGCAGGGGAGAACGGAAUUCCUGGUGUAGCGGUGAAAUGCGCAGAUAUCAGGAGGAACACCGGUGGCGAAGGCGGGUCUCUGGGCAAUAACUGACGCUGAGGAGCGAAAGCGUGGGGAGCGAACAGG
rnacentral:rRNA from 1 species